rnacentral:rRNA from 1 species
UGGGGAAUAUUGGACAAUGGGCGAAAGCCUGAUCCAGCAAUGCCGCGUGUGUGAAGAAGGCCCUCGGGUUGUAAAGCACUUUUAUCAGGAACGAAAUACCACAGGUUAAUACCUUGUGGGGCUGACGGUACCUGAGGAAUAAGCACCGGCUAACUUCGUGCCAGCAGCCGCGGUAAUACGAAGGGUGCAAGCGUUAAUCGGAAUUACUGGGCGUAAAGGGUGCGUAGGCGGUUGUUUAAGUCUGUCGUGAAAUCCCCGGGCUCAACCUGGGAAUGGCGAUGGAUACUGGGCAGCUAGAGUGUGUCAGAGGAUGGUGAAAUUCCCGGUGUAGCGGUGAAAUGCGUAGAGAUCGGGAGGAACAUCAGUGGCGAAGGCGGCCAUCUGGGACAACACUGACGCUGAAGCACGAAAGCGUGGGGAGCAAACAGG